rnacentral:rRNA from 1 species
UACGGAGGGGGCUAGCGUUGUUCGGAAUUACUGGGCGUAAAGGGCGCGUAGGUGGCCUGUUAAGUCGAACGUGAAAUCCCCGGGCUCAACCCGGGGACUGCGUCCGAGACUGGCAGGCUCGAAUCCGGGAGAGGGAUGUGGAAUUCCAGGUGUAGCGGUGAAAUGCGUAGAGAUCCGGAGGAAUACCAGUGGCGCAAGCGGCGCUCUGGGUCGAGCCUGACACUGAGACGCGAAGGCAUGGGGAGCGAACGGG